AUUCCGGUUGAUCCUGCCGGAGGCUAUUGCUAUUGGAAUCCGAUUUAGCCAUGCUAGUCGCACGGGUUAGACCCGUGGCGAACAGCUCAGUAACACGUGGCCAAACUACCCUGUGAACGGGGAUAAUCUCGGGAAACUGAGGCUAAUCCUCGAUAGGGCUUCCAUCCUGGAGUGGAGGAAGUCCAAAAGUCGCUCUGCGGCAUCACAGGAUGUGGCUGCGGCCGAUUAGGUAGACGGUGGGGUAACGGCCCACCGUGCCAGUAAUCGGUACGGGUGAUGAGAGUCAGAGCCCGGAGACGGUAUCUGAGACAAGAUACCGGGCCCUACGGGGCGCAGCAGGCGCGAAACCUUUACACUGCACGACAGUGCGAU
rnacentral:rRNA from 1 species